rnacentral:rRNA from 1 species
GCCUGAUCCAGCCAUGCCGCGUGAGUGAAGAAGGCCUUCGGGUUGUAAAGCUCUUUCAGAUGCGAAGAUGAUGACGGUAACAUCAGAAGAAGCCCCGGCUAAUUUCGUGCCAGCAGCCGCGGUAAUA